rnacentral:rRNA from 1 species
GAUGAACGCUGGCGGCGUGCCUAAUACAUGCAAGUCGAGCGAACAGAUGAGGAGCUUGCUCCUCUGACGUUAGCGGCGGACGGGUGAGUAACACGUGGAUAACCUACCUAUAAGACUGGGAUAACUUCGGGAAACCGGAGCUAAAACCGGAUAAUAUAUUAAACCGAAUGUUUCAAUAGUGAAAGACGGUUUUGCUGUAACUUAUAGAUGGAUCCGCGCCGCAUUAGCUAGUUGGUAUGGUAACGCCUUACCAAGGCAACGAUGCGUAGCCGACCUGAGAGGGUGAUCGGCCACACUGGAACUGAGACACGGUCCAGACUCCUACGGGAGGCAGCAGUAGGGAAUCUUCCGCAAUGAGCGAAAGCCUGACGGAGCAACGCCGCGUGAGUGAUGAAGGUCUUCGGAUCGUAAAACUCUGUUAUUAGGGAAGAACAAAUGUGUAAGUAAAUAUGCACGUCUUGACGGUACCUAAUCAGAAAGCCACGGCUAACUACGUG